rnacentral:rRNA from 1 species
GGAGGGUGCGAGCGUUGUUCGGAAUCAUUGGGCGUAAAGCGCGUGUAGGCGGCUUGGUAAGUCGGGUGUGAAAGCCCGGGGCCCAACCCCGGAACUGCACUCGAUACUGCCUCGCUAGAGUCCCGGAGAGGAGAGCGGAGUUCCCGGUGUAGAGGUGAAAUUCGUAGAUAUCGGGAGGAACACCAGUGGCGAAGGCGGCUCUCUGGACGGUGACUGACGCUGAGACGCGAAAGCGUGGGGAGCAAACAGGAUUAGAUACCCUGGUAGUCCACGCCGUAAACGUUGGGUGCUAGGUGUCGCGGGUAUUGACCCCCCUGCGGUGCCGCCGCUAACGCAUUAAGCACCCCGCCUGGGGAGUACGGUCGCAAGGCUA